UUAGUGAGUUAAAUCUAAUAAGGUUUAUUUGUGCUUCAAAUCACAAAGCCCAACAUGAACUUCCCAGGAAAUCCACUGAGAAAUGCUUUUCUAGGCGCAGCACCUGCCUCCCCAGUGCCUCCAACUGCUAGCUGCCAGAGGCUUCCCAGGAUGACAGAGUCACUUGACUUCUUGGCUACUUCUGCAGAUCAAACUCCAAGGUCCUUUGAUGACAUUCUCUCUGGGAGAUUAAAGUCAGCAGCAGCAGGGCACUUUAGGGCAGUAACCUGGAAACAAAACAAAACAAAACCAUGAAGGAAAACAGCCAGUUGAGUGACUCAAAAGUGAGGAAUUUGGGAACCAGCAAUUAGCCUGGGGCUCCUGCCACUAUCAUUUACUAGGCAUUAUGUGUAACUUUUUUUUUUUUAAAAAGACGAGAAAUUUCUGGUGAUGGUCAAAAAACAAACUCUCAUGAACCAUCAGAAAUAUUUACAUUCAACUAACUCCCUCUGUACAUGGACCUUUGAGUCCACCAGGAGCAAAGCCAAGCAGACCUGCUUCCCUGCAGGCUAUGGGCUCUGUGAAUCUCACCAAAUGCUACUUCAGAUGAUGAAAAAAUCAGCAGGCAGUGGUGGCGUACACCUUUAAUCCCAGCACUUUGGAGGCAGAGGCAGGAGGAUCUCUGAGUUUGAGGCGGUCUACAGAGUGAAUUCCAGGUUAGCCAGGGCUACACAAGAGAAACGCUAUCUUGAAAACUGAAAUUUAAAAAGUGACUUUAAGUAUAAAAAGCCAGUUUCCACAGCAAAGGACAAUUUGAGGGCUUCAAAAUGGCCACUGAAACGAGUUCCUAAGGCAGGGCCCACCCCCCACCCUAGUGCCCUGUUUCUCUCCGACUCCUCUAGUGCCCAUUAAGUAACCACGACACACAGACAGGACCUACUCUGUACUGAGGCUGCCAGAGUCGCUGCGCCUUCUUUCCCCAAAAUGUCAGGACUGCUGUGGUGGCAAGGACAGAGUCACUAAGCACUGAUGGCAUAAGCCUUACAUUCCUGACUCCUACAAAAGAGCACAUUCACUCCCAAGUAUGUGGCAAGCACUCCUUCACUCUACAGUAUAGAAUGAGCCCUGGCAGCAUGCCCACCUCUGUGAACUCAGAGGCUUUGCCCUCAGAGCCACUCAAAGGAGAGGAUUAUAGGGCAACCAGACCAUAGGCUUUUGGAGAGCUGGCACACCACACUAGGUCCCAGCAGGGCGCACAUAGCUCUCUAUGGAGUCCACUCAAUCCCUUAUAAAGCUCGAAUUUCUUCAAGCAUGGAGCCACACCCCUAAGCCUCAGAACAUAGUAUUUUCCCUCAGCUGAAAUUUUCAGACAGGGAUAACUUAACAUCCAUCAUAGGCUUAUGGGCUUUUUUUAGAACAAAAACAAAAUGGGAGCAUAAAACCACAAAGGGCCAGGUAUGGUGACAAAUGCCUUUAAUCCCAGCACCUGGAAGGCGGAAGCAGGUGGACUUGUGAGUUUGAGGUCACCCAGGUCUACAUAGCAAGUCCCACCUGGGGCUAAACAGUAAGAUCCUAUCUCAGAUCAAAGGGGGAGGGGGCUACAGAAGAAAGCAAUUGCUUCUGUUUGUCACAAGGCUGGCAUCUCACCCUGCACAACCCAGAGCAGGAAAUCAAAAGCACUAACCCUCCACCCAGCCAGCUGUGCGAGGAACCACGGCCGCUCACAUCCUUGCAAUCCAGGGGGCAGGAUAGUUGGUUACCUGCAGGCUGCCACAGCAUCCCUUUCUGCCCCAGACUUGGCCUGCACCUGGUGAUGAGGAAACACACAAGGUAAAGCAGCUCACUGAAGAACCAUGUCCAGAGUUGCUGGUCAAGCCCGAGAAGCCGAGUUUCAGAUAUCCACGCUCCACACAGAAAGGCCUCUUGCCCUUCAGACAGGGAUAACUUUACAUCAUCAUGCACUCAGCUCCCACGGGACUGCCGGCCUUUGCUCAAGAACUCUAAAAGCUUUUUUAAAAAGGCAAUUUCAUGUGUGUGUGUGUGUGUGUGUGUGUUUUGACUACAUGAACAUAUGUGCACCGUGUGUGCCUAGUGCCUGUAGAGACCUCAAGAGGGUAUUGGAUUCCCCCUAGACGUGGAGUUAUAGGCAGCUGGCUGCCUGAAGUAAGUGCUGGGAAAUGAACCCAGGUCCUCAGCAGCUGUUCUUAGCCACUGAGCCAUUUCCCAGACACUCCGGUCCUCUCAAAGACAGGAUCAUGAACAUCAAGAAAGCCAAGGCAAGAACUGUGAGUUUGAACCCAACCUGUGCUACACAGAAAAUUCAAGGCCCACACAGGAUACAUGGUAAGACCUCAGGGUGGAAGAGGGUCACUCCCAGCAGCAUCUGUCUUAUCGCUGAGCCAGAGUCUUUGACAAGUUCUUCCAGCCUGUCACGGGAACGCCUGAAAUGGUUUAGGUAACCCACUACCUCAGCUGGCCCAUUGACAGACAACCACCUAUCACACCUGCUACCGAGACAGCAUCAUACAGUUUCUCCUUGUCCAUCUACAUAUACAAGAGCAAGCCUGAGAUUUUUCCAUUUAGACAUUAGAAAUCUACCCCAAGAGCUUCUUAAAAAUAGCCUGCUCUAGGAGAAUCCCUAAGCAGAUCAUUGAACUCUCUCUGUCCGCCUGCUCAGACCUCCCACAAGGUUGUUGUUGAUCCCAUUCUAAAACCAGUCUUAUCCACUGGCAGAGGUGGACCCAGGGAAUGCUUUUAGGUGUUGGGGGAUAAAUCCCGGAUUGGAAACCACUAAUUUUGCUUUACAAAAAACACAAGGCUCUGUGCCACUAUCAGCUAGCUGGCCAAAACCUUUAAUCUAAAAUGCAAUUUUGGCUCAGUAUGUAAAGGAGAGAACAAACUCAGUCCAAGUCAUCCUGAGUGAUAAGGUUUCUUAACCUCAGCUCUAUUGACAUGUUGGGUAUGUUUAAGUUUAAAAUGGCUGCCCUGUGCCUUGAAGGACAGUCACCCAGCAUCAACUGAUGUCCCCUGGAAGCCAGUGCUCAUGUAGCUUUGAGCAGAAACCCCUAAGCCUCAGUCUAUGUGGCAGCAGAGUGGGGAACACUUGUAUUCUCACACCUUAAAUACAGUCUAUGAAGGCAGUAAGUGAAGAGCAGAGAGGAAUGGUUCCAUGUUUCUUCCCUUCCCCGAGCAAUCACAUCCCUGCAACCCCAGACCGAUCCUUCCAGGCAACCCCAACCCCUGCCACUCUAUGGAGAAGUGCUUACCACACACAGCAUCUCAUGGUGUCUCCAGGAGCCAACUCCAAUCUACAAGAGUAAUUAAGGGAGUUCAUUGUAACAUAAGCAACCCUAUGGUGUUUAAAAUCAGAAAAGGUAUUAAAAAGUGGAGCCUCAGAAAACCACAACCCUUCACAAAAGAUGCCAUUUCAGACAGGGAUAACUCUAAUAAAUCAUCCUCGGCUCAACCAAUAACACACUCCCUAAAUCCCAGCCAACCCAAACUCAUGUUCCAAGUCUCUUCCCCUUCGUCCCUGUACACUGUGUCACCCACACAUGGUGGCCCCAUGUUACACCGACCCAGCCCCUCUUCUAGACUUUGGGUAGCAGACACUCUUCUUACCGAAAGGGACUCAUGGCUCAACGCUCGCUCAUUGGGGAACCUGAGAACAGUGCACGCAGAUGCCCGCCGUCCUUCUCCGCCUUCUCACUGGGCGGCCACGCGGGUCCCUUUACGCCUGGGGAUCCUGCCAUUAACCUGAUGCUUUGCCAGGGGCACGCCUUCGAGGAAGGAAAGACAUGCCAUUUGCAAAACUACGGAUUUCCAGUUGGCAAUCCCCUUUCUCACGGCCUGCGGUCACCACCUGCGGGCAGCAGACCCAUUCGGGCGUCGAGGCUCAGGAAUGAGGGACCACCAGCCUCGAGGGAGACCCCAGGGCCGCAUGCUCCGUGCAUGGCUGGCUGUGAGGCCCAGGGGGCUGGGCAGCCUGCGAGGAUCCCCCCUGAAAGGUCCAGGCAUUGUGCUGGCCUGGCCCUGUGACCCGGCACAAUCACUCAGGCAGUGCCUGGUUCCACGGAACCGAGUCUUUGACAGACAGACCCCUGCUCGCUCGCCCGCCCCCACCCCGCUGUAAUAAACUCCACGGUUAAUCCAUCUCCUGGUUCAUGUUCCACAGCGCGCAUCUUUAAGCAAAGGAACACCACCCGCCCCCCAAACAAGCCGGGAGCGCGGAGCCUAAACGGGCUUCGGCCGCUGUCACGUAAAACUUGUGCAGCCUGGAAAACGCCGUCUUUCCAACACAGAACCCCGGGCCUUCCAGCGCCUUCAGGAGCAAAGCAGAGAGGAGGGGGCACCGGGCACGUCGGCCCUCACGUCCCCUCCCCCGCAGCUUACCGACACCCAAGGCCCAGCCCUGCCCGUGGGCGCACGACGGAGCCUCGCGGCCAUGACUCCCGCACACGCGGCGGCCGAGCUCGGAAAGGGCGAGGCUGCGCCUGCGCGCGGUCUUCCCACCCGAGUCUCGCGGGCACGAUCGCGGUGUUGAGAAGGGCCUGAUGGGAAAUGUAGUUCUCA
ensembl:lncRNA